rnacentral:rRNA from 1 species
AGAGUUUGAUCAUGGCUCAGGAUGAACGCUAGCGACAGGCCUAACACAUGCAAGUCGAGGGGCAGCACAUGAGUAGCAAUACUUUGGUGGCGACCGGCGCACGGGUGAGUAACACGUAUGCAACCUGCCUGUAAGUGGGGAAUAACCCGGAGAAAUUCGGACUAAUACCGCAUAAAACUGCGAAACUGCAUGGUUUUGCAUUUAAACAUUUAUGGCUUACAGAUGGGCAUGCGUAUGAUUAGCUAGUUGGUGAGGUAACGGCUCACCAAGGCAACGAUCAUUAGGGGUUCUGAGAGGAAGGUCCCCCACACUGGUACUGAGACACGGACCAGACUCCUACGGGAGGCAGCAGUGAGGAAUAUUGGUCAAUGGGCGCGAGCCUGAACCAGCCAAGUCGCGUGAAGGAAGAAGGUUCUAUGGAUUGUAAACUUCUUUUGUAAGGGAAUAAAAAAGAGUACGUGUACUCUAUUGUAUGUACUUUACGAAUAAGGAUCGGCUAACUCCGUGCCAGCAGCCGCGGUAAUACGGAGGAUCCGAGCGUUAUCCGGAUUUAUUGGGUUUAAAGGGUGCGUAGGCGGAUUGAUAAGUCAGCGGUGAAAGUUUGCAGCUCAACUGUAAAAUUUGCCAUUGAAACUGUCGAUCUUGAGUGCAAAUGAGGUAGGCGGAAUGUGUUGUGUAGCGGUGAAAUG